rnacentral:rRNA from 1 species
GAUGAACGCUGGCGGCGUGCCUAAUACAUGCAAGUCGAGCGAACAGAUAAGGAGCUUGCUCCUUUGACGUUAGCGGCGGACGGGUGAGUAACACGUGGGUAACCUACCUAUAAGACUGGAAUAACUCCGGGAAACCGGGGCUAAUGCCGGAUAACAUUUAGAACCGCAUGGUUCUAAAGUGAAAGAUGGUUUUGCUAUCACUUAUAGAUGGACCCGCGCCGUAUUAGCUAGUUGGUAAGGUAACGGCUUACCAAGGCAACGAUACGUAGCCGACCUGAGAGGGUGAUCGGCCACACUGGAACUGAGACACGGUCCAGACACCUACGGGAGGCAGCGGUAGGGAAUCUUCCGCGAUGGGCGAAAGCCUGACGGAGCAACGCCGCGUGAGUGAUGAAGGUCUGCGGAUCGUAAAACUCUGUUAUUAGGGAAGAACAAAUGUGUAAGUAACUGUGCACGUCUUGACGGUACCUAAUCAGAAAGCCACGGCUAACUACGUG